UUUUGGGAAUGUUCGGUUGGG
rnacentral:piRNA from 1 species